AGAGCUCAAAUUUGUAAUCUGGCAGUCGUUGGAUUGUCCGAGUUGUAAUCUAGAGAAGUGCUUACCUGCGCUGGACCGUGUACAAGUCUCCUGGAAUGGAGCAUCGCAGAGGGUGAGAAUCCCGUCUUUGACAUGGACUGCCAGGGCUCAACAGGUGCGCUCUCGAAGAGUCGAGUUGUUUGGGAAUGCAGCUCAAAAUGGGUGGUAAAUGCCAUCUAAAGCUAAAUAUUGGCGAGAGACCGAUAGCGAA
rnacentral:rRNA from 1 species